CCCUUAGAUGUCCGGGGCUGCACGCGCGCUACACUGACUGGCUCAGCGUGUGCCUACCCUACGCCGGCAGGCGCGGGUAACCCGUUGAACCCCAUUCGUGAUGGGGAUCGGGGAUUGCAAUUAUUCCCCAUGAACGAGGAAUUCCCAGUAAGUGCGGGUCAUAAGCUUGCGUUGAUUAAGUCCCUGCCCUUUGUACACACCGCCCGUCGCUACUACCGAUUGGAUGGUUUAGUGAGGCCCUCGGAUCGGCCCCGCCGGGGUCGGCCCACGGCCCUGGCGGAGCGCUGAGAAGACGGUCGAACUUGACUAUCUAGAGGAAGUAAAAGCCGUAACA
rnacentral:rRNA from 1 species